AUUGAACGCUGGCGGCAUGCCUUACACAUGCAAGUCGAACGGCAGCGCGGACUUCGGUCUGGCGGCGAGUGGCGAACGGGUGAGUAACAUAUCGGAACGUGCCCUGGAGUGGGGGAUAACUAGUCGAAAGUCUAGCUAAUACCGCAUACGCCCUGAGGGGGAAAGUGGGGGAUCGCAAGACCUCAUGCUCGUGGAGCGGCCGCUAUCUGAUUAGCUAGUUGGUGGGGUAAAGGCCUACCAAGGCGACGAUCAGUAGCUGGGCUGAGCGGACGACCAGCCACACUGGGACUGAGACACGGCCCAGACUCCUACGGGAGGCAGCAGUGGGGAAUUUUGGACAAUGGGGGCAACCCUGAUCCAGCAAUGCCGCGUGAGUGAAGAAGGCCUUCGGGUUGUAAAGCUCUUUUAUCCGGGAAGAAAUCCCAUCCCUGAAUACGGGGUGGGGAUGACGGUACUGGAAGAAUAAGCACCGGCUAACUACGUGCCAGCCGCCGCCGUAA
rnacentral:rRNA from 1 species